rnacentral:rRNA from 1 species
UACGUAGGGGGCAAGCGUUGUCCGGAUUUAUUGGGCGUAAAGAGCGUGUAGGCGGCCAGACAGGUCCGUUGUGAAAACUCGAGGCUCAACCUCGAGACGCCGAUGGAAACCGUCUGGCUAGAGUCCGGAAGAGGAGAGUGGAAUUCCUGGUGUAGCGGUGAAAUGCGCAGAUAUCAGGAAGAACACCCGUGGCUAAGGCGGCUCUCUAGUACGGUACUGACGCUGAGGCGCGAAAGCCAGGGGAGCAAACGGG